GACCGCUUGAGCCCCACCGAGCUUAUAAGGUCUCCGUCUGCUGGAUAGACUGAGAUGGGGUGUGAGGUCCUCCUGGAAACAAGACAAAAGGAGGAUGAAUGAGAAGAAAGCAGAAUAGUGCACUGCUUUUCAUUGCUAGUGGUCUCGUGCUGGAUUAUUAAGGUCUUAACAGUUUUACACAUCCUUCAACCAGUAUGAGCACCUUUCUUAUCCCAAUUAAAUUCAAUCCUAAGGAGUGGAGAAGGUAAGUAGGCAAUUCUCGAAAUAAUAGUUGUGCAAUAUUACAAGGAGCUUUAGAUGAUUAUAGCUAAUUCUAAAAAAGCAAUCAUUUUUCAGACAUCAUGUGAAAGCAGGUUUUACACUGCCAGUCAAAAUGAUCAGACUUCCUAAAUAAUAACCCUUUUCAUAUUUCAAAAUAACUGUCAGUGAUAAAAGGACAUGCAGAAUAAUUCUGCCCUGUGAUGCUUUAUGCAUCCAAAACUGAAUCAGAUACAGUAAUAGUCAGUAUGUUGCCCUAUUAUUUUUAAAUUUUUUGUGCCUGGAAAAACGUAUUGUCCAGUAUUAAUGGGCUAAAUGUUAACAGCAUGCUACAAAAGAUUGUAACUGUCAGUUCAAAUCACUUCAUUAAAUAACAUUAUGGUUUUCCUAAAGUCAGUGCUAAAGAGGUUAAAACUGAGCCAAAUAACUUAAUGACUUUUAAUUUGUUUUUAACCAAUGCAGAUACUGAUGAAUGUAUAGACUCAUUCAACAACACUUGACGCUCUGUUACUGCAUUAUUAUGUAUUUCAUAAUCAACUGUUAAUGUGCAUAAAGACUGAAUCAGGCAUUUAAAUAGCUUCUGCUUUCAAGGUUCUGAAGCCCAAAACCACCUGACACAUGCUUGUUUACAAACUGUACCAUCUUGAAUAAAACUAAAUGCGUGUAA